AUUCAAAGUCGGAGGAAAGAGAAACUCACCCGGAUCAUCAUCGGAUAGAAUGAAGACAGCAUGUCAGACACACGCUGAUUCUUCAUUGCGUCAAUGUCGGCGGGAAGGAGGAGCGCCUGGCACAAUUUUCUGGCCAAGUCGUGGUUGGCCAGGCCCGACGCACCUUCGGGAAGUGGAAAGUCGGCCGAUCCUCCGCCAGCCGACCGACCUUCGUCACCCGACGCCAUGGGAGCCUUGCCUCGGCUAGACGCCCAGGCCCUGACGUCGGAGAUUGACGGCAGGCUUGACCCCGACCGGGUCUCGACCGACGGUGCGGCGGNNNNNNNNNNNNNNNNNNNNCAACACAGCCACGCUUGAGGUUCGGGACCUCAACGAAGACAUGACUAUCUCAGCCAUGAAGCGGGGCCUGAGGGCGUCCCGAUUCACCUACUCUCUGGACAAGACCCUCCCCCGGACUUACACCGAGCUACUGGAGCGCGCAUACAAAUACAUGCGCGCGGACGAAGGAGCAUCCGACCGAUGCUUGGCCGAGCCCAGAGGCCCGAAAGAGAAGCGGAGGAAAGGUCGGGAACCCGCCGAACCAAGCAGGCCCCCGACCGAUAGUCGGGUCUCGCCACCCCGACGAAUCCAAAAAUCACCCCGGUAGCAGACUCCGAGGCCGGCACGCCCC
rnacentral:lncRNA from 1 species